CUGCGCUCUGCCGGGGGCGCGCGAGCCGAGGUCCUCCUGCCCCGUGGGUCUGCAUCCUGAUGGGGGAAGAGAGAUGUAAUGGAGAAACCAGGCUGCAAACAUGGUCUACCCAAACAACAGGGGAAACUAACUAAUUGAACAAAGACACUCCUGUGCCCAAAGUUUAAAGUUAUGGAGUUACAACACAGAAUUUAUAGCCCAAGGCCAGAAGCAUUAUAUAGGUUUUAA